CAGUUUACAUGAAUACAUACAUAAUCCUCUCUGCUAACUUGGGUGAAAGGAGGUGUGCUUCCUCCUUGAGGGAGGCUCUUAAGACAGGCACUGUGAUGUCUAUCUGCAGCCGUCUACUCUCAGGGCUGAGGUAAGGGAAUGGCUACAGCAAAGACUUUAAGAGAGGUAAGAGUGCACAUGUGCUGUGUGCAAACACAUAGCCAAGCGUGAGUACAGACAGAAAGACGGACGGAUGGAUGAACACACAGACAUGUACACAUAAUGUGAUGGCCGCUCCUCUCAUGGAGUAUAGAGCCCUGUAGCUCCGGGAAAAGCCACACUUAGGAUGGCACCACGUGACACAUCUUUCAAGAUCGUCAGUGCAAGCGUCUUGGAUUGAUGAGACCGUACAGGCAGAGUCCAGUCACCUCAGAGAGCAUGUUGGUCCUUUUCCAAGUCUUCUGCUGGGUCUAACAGAACCACGAAUGCUUUGGAGAAGCCGACGAGUCUUGGGUUUGUCUCAAGGAUAGGACACAGUGACAGGACAAGAUCUUUUAGGGUCUAGACUCGGGUGGAUGUUAGCUAGCUUUCUGGGUGGGUGCCCAGGGUGAGCUCAGCUCUCAGGGGUUUUAAAUCGGUACUCUUCCCUGCUGACUCUAACGAUGCUCCUGGGCCACAUUGGGUUGGUGCUUCAAGAUCUGUUAUCUUGAAAACAGCAACAUCAGUCUCUUACUCUGAAACUGGGUGUGUACAUAUUAGGGCAACAGCCUCAAUCUCUGAUGAGAGUGGAAUGUCAGAAAUGGAGCGUGGGGAGGACGUAGGAAAGCUUGUAUCCUUGGCAGGCUGGGAAAUCCCUAAGCGUGUAGGGUGUAUGCUUCUCUGGGAUUUCCUUACAAUGGGAGCUUGCUGACAGCUAUACAUUGGUUCUUAUUUUCUUCCCAGUACACCACUGGCAGUGUUCCUUGCCUGCGUGUUCCUUCUUUCUUUACAGAGGUACUGUGCUCUUAAGGGAGACGGUGUAAACAAUGCAGACUCAUCACACCUUUCGAAUGGCUUUUAUACUCCUGCAGGGAGUGUGACUCUAUUCUACUGUGAGUUCCGUGGUCACUCCGAGUACAUUCCACUUCUACGUCCCCUACGUGUUAGAUAUGUGAGACGACUGCCAGCAAUGGGGUCCAGCUGACAGGCUCCAAUUUAACUGUGUGCAAGCCUGAAAUAAUUACACACUCUCUGUGAAGUGACGAGCUUGGCCCAAUGAAUCUCCUGUCUGUCCUCGGGUUCUCUGAAGAGUCCCCACGAAGCAGUAGUCAAUAAAGGCUUAAUAAUGCAGAGUACAGCAGGGGAAUGCCAGGUUUCUUGCAUCCGCCAGGCUGGGUCUACGUCCUUCAGGUUGAUUAUUAAAACAUUUUGAAUAUCACCUCUGGCUUCUGAGUUCCCAAAACACACAUUCUGUCUUAACCCCCUUGGCCCCUGCUUGUGCUGUUUCUUUGCAAACAAUAUCCAUUCUGGUAGCAUGAGCCCCCUUGAGAGCCCUGUUCUCAUCUAGGUCUUUAGAUUAUAACACAGCCUUCUGCACAGACUCACUCCCAAACCCAAUCUUCUCUCCCCAGAACAACUGCUUCCUCUACAACUGCUCUGGUCCUGAAUUUAGAUCCUUGUCAGUGACAUUUCUUGUCAGUCUACAUUUCUCCACAGGAACCAAGAAGGGAGUGUAGGCCCAAAGAAUCCUAUAGCAUAAAAAGCACUCAGAUAACCACCCAGCAUCCUGAGUGCUCUGCAGAGGACCCACAUUUGAUGGCUUGUAUAUGUUCGCCCCAGGGAGUGGCACUAUGAGAAGGUGUGGCCUUGUUGGAGUAGGUGUGUCACUGUGGGUGUGGGCUUCAAGACCCUCAUCCUAGUUGCCUGGAAGUCAGGAUUCUGCUAGCAGCCUUCAGAUGAAGAUGUAGAACUCUCAGCUCCUCCUGCACCAUGCCUGCCUGAACACUGCCAUGCUCCCAGCUUCAUGACAAUCCACUGAACCUCUGAACCUGUAAGCCAGCCCCAAUUAAAUGUUGUCUUUAUAAGACUUGCCUUGGUCAUGGUAUCUGAUCACAGUAGUAGACACCUUACAGUACAGACAGACAGGCCUAGCUAGUCACUUCACAUCCAGUGUCUAAUUACUUCAGGGUUGCACACAGUUAAAUUGGCUAGAUCUCAUUGCUGGUGGUAGUUUCACGUAAUUAACAUGAAAGAGGUAUAGUAACAGGAGGAGAUUGGUUGAUAUGAGGUCAGGGCAGCAUUGACAGCCUCUCUCUCAUACAGUACAAUGUCACCUCAGCAGUGCUGGGCCUGUCUCUUCAACUGCCCUGCCCUGGGGUAGAGCUGCUGGUCAAAGCUGGCCAGCACACCCCAACAUAGCUUCAGACCCUUGCAUCUCUCAACUGUCCACCCUUCUCUUUUUGCUUUCUAGCUUCUUGUUACUUUAGGAAACAAACAUUUGGAUAAUAAGCUCCUGCUUCCCUCUACUAAUGCUGUAUAGCUUACACAGACACAAUCGCACACAUGCACACACACACAAUACACCCAUGUGUGUGCUCUCAUACACACACAUGCAAACAUACAUAUGCACAGACGUACACACACACAUACACAUGCACAAACAUGCUCAGACAUAAAUACACUCACACAUAUGCAUGCUCACACACACACAUACAUGUACACUCACACACAUGUAUAGACAUAUACACACAUACACACACAUGCACAGACAUAUACACACUCAUACAUAUACAUUCACAAACAUGUAUACACACAUGUACACACACACUAACACAUACAGACCAACACUCACAACAUACACUCUCACAUGCCUAUCUAGUGAUUAUGGAAUUAGACACUCUGCCAGCAAUCAGUAGCCAGGAUCUUUGCUGGGCCCCUGGCAUACAAAGUUACAAUGUAACCAUUGGUUGGUUCUCUAAUUAGCUUCCUAUCCCAAAUGGAGGAACCACAACAGAGUGCAAUGGUAAGAUUUGUAAAAGCCACACAGGUGAGAACUGACCCAGCAAGGCAGUCUGGCUUUACCACAUCCGUAUUGUCUCAUUUCACACCUAAAAAUCUAUUGACAUUCAGGGUAAAAGUUCUCCGAGACAAUGGCCAGAUCUUCACCCCACCUCCACAGAGUCAAGAUUUUAACACGGCGCUCCGCUCCACAGCCAGACUGCUGCCAAGCCAUCCCAUAAUCGUUAAAACUAUGAAAACACAUAGGUCUAUAGUAUAGGUCUUCAAAAUAUAAAAAGAAGAUCCCCAGGAGUUCUCUGGUCCCUGACCUGUCUACCUCAACAGAAAUUGCUGAAGACCUGCCUGCGACGUUUCCCAAUUCUCCUAGAUGACUUGAGGCUGUGUGAGUAUGGUGUGUUGUACACGCCAGCCUGUGUUCAUGGAGGAGGGGCAGCACCUCCGCUCUGAGAGAGGGUGUGGGACAGGAGGGGAAAGGCUGUGACUCCUAAGAGGCUCUUUGGAGAAGAAAGGAAGGCUGGCGAGCAGCCUGGCUACUUUAGGCAUGGAGACGGUCCAGCAUAGCAGGAGAGGAUGAGGGUAUGUGUAAGUGUGCACAUGUGUGCUCUAUCAAAAGGGACAAGGCUGGUUGGGCAUCCCUUUUCUUUCUCUUCCCAGUGGCCUGACAAAGCCUGUCUGUCUUGGCUGGCUGCCAUUUGUAAAGACCCCAUGGCUUCCCUUGGCCUCCUGCACGGGGUAGGAGUGGGAGCCAUUCAUCAGUGUCAGAAGAUGUGCUGCACACAGCAGGGGUGGCUCUCUUCCCUGCUGCUCCUGCAGCAAGGGCUGCAGAUCUUGAAAAGACGCAGAACAUGCACAUUGCAAAUAACCAUUCAUCAUCGAGGCUCUGGGAGCCAGGGAGAGGCCACUCUCUCUCCGCAUGGUGCUGACCCAGUCUCCCUUUGGCUCCAGCCCCCCUUUCUUGCCUGGCACUUGGAACAGGAAGCCUUUGAGGGGCUCAAUCCAGGCCCCAGACAAUCCCCAUACCUGAAAAUCUAUUGACGUUCAGGGUAAAAGUUCUCUAAGACAAUGGCCAGAUCUUCAUCCCACCUCCCCAGAGUCAAGAUUUUAGCAGGGCGCUCCGCUCCACAGCCAGACUGCUGCCAAGCCAUCCCAUAAUCGUUAAACUAUGAAAACACAUGUUCCUGGGAGGAAAUGAAUACCAGCUUUCACUAGGGAAAGGCCUGCUUUCUUCUGAAGUAAUUAUAAAAUUAAAAUGUGAUAUUUCUCUGGUGAGUCUCAAAAGGCUUCCCAGUGCGGUCCACGGCACAACAGAAAUGUCAGCAUUUGCAGCAGGAUGGGACCGAGAAACCCUCCUGCGCCCCCAAAACGCCAGUCAGAGACGUCCGCGAGUAGAUUUCCAAAGAUUGGGUUAAGGGUGAUUAACAGCAAAGAGAAAGAAAAGUAGAAGAGUUUGAAUUUUUCAAUUACUCGGUAAGACUCAAGAGUCAAGCCGCUAGAAAAUGCAGGCUUUCUAAGUAAGACUAAUAAUGCUGAGCUAAUUAG